rnacentral:rRNA from 1 species
AAUCAACGCUGGCGGCGUGCCUAACACAUGCAAGUCGAACGCGAAAGUGGAGCAAUCCAUGAGUAGAGUGGCAAACGGGUGAGUAACGCGUGGGUGAUCUGCCUUCGAGUGGGGGAUAACGUUCCGAAAGGGACGCUAAUACCGCAUAACAUCCUGCCUUUUAAGAGGUGGACAUCAAAGCCUGGGACCGCAAGGCCAGGCGCUUGAAGAGGGGCCCGCGUCCGAUUAGCUAGUUGGUGGGGUAAUGGCUCACCAAGGCAACGAUCGGUAGCCGGCCUGAGAGGGCGGACGGCCACACUGGGACUGAGACACGGCCCAGACUCCUACGGGAGGCAGCAGUGGGGAAUUUUGGACAAUGGGGGCAACCCUGAUCCAGCAAUGCCGCGUGAGUGAAGAAGGCCUUCGGGUUGUAAAGCUCUUUUGUCAGGGAAGAAACACCGGCUCUAACACAGUCCGGGAGUGACGGUACCUGAAGAAUAAGCACCGGCUAACUACGUGCCAGCCGCCGCGGUAA